rnacentral:lncRNA from 1 species
AUAAACUGCUUCUUUUAGGGUUUCCUUAACCCUUUGGCCGCCAUACAGCCCACGCCCCGAUUCCGACGGAGGGGACACCAGCUCGAUGACUCCGGCGAAAGGUAAGUCUCCCUUUUUCUUUCUUUUUCGUAUUUUAAAGAAAAGAAAUAAUAAUAAUGAAAUAAAAAACGAAAUAAAAUGUAAGAACAAAACCCUCUUUCCCUUUUUAUCAUUACAUGCACAGAAACAAAAAAGAAAAAAAAAACUAGAACACUUCUAAUAAUCACCUUAAAAACUGAUAUUUGCUCUGUUCUAUUGAUUUUUUCCCCUCUUUACAAAAUAAAGCGGCUUUAUAUAGCCCAGAAAAAAUGAAAAAUAAAUCGAAUAAUUGUUAUUUUUUGUUGUUUCUUCUCUUUCAGACUCUUUGAGUUCGUGUUUGCAGGUGUUUGUGCGCGUGUGGAGAGGUCGGCCCCGAGAUGUCUGGCACUUGGGGAGUCUACUGGAGGUGGGGAGGCUGCUGCGGCUAGGGUGUAUAGUGCUAGGGUUUUCUACUUAAUUUUACUGUGUUGGACUAGUUUAAUUGGGCUUGUAUUUUUUAAAUUUGGGCCGUGCUUUGUUUUAUAUGGGCUUGGGCCAGUUGGGCCUAUUACAAUAAUAUUUCAAAGAUG